CGCAGUGUGUGGUUGUGUUCCUCAGCUUUAGGUUUUGCAGACCAAGUUUUUACAGAUCACAGCUGUAGAUUUUCCCCAGGAUUACCAUCUGGAAGCACUUGCCCAAACGUCAGAGAGCAAAGCAUCACAGGAGUUCUUGAGGCUGAUGGCCAGCCAUAGCCCAAAGUCAAACUGAUGGGACCACAAGAAGAGAAGCUAACAGGUCUGCAGCUGAAGCAGAACCAGAAGAGGAUUAGGCAUACAGCAGCCAGCACUGUGCCCAGUCAUAGCUCCAGAACCAUGUCCAGGCGAAUGCUCCUUCUGCUGAGGGCACACGAUGGGCUGGAAAUAACAAAUUGGGCAAUGAACUGA
rnacentral:lncRNA from 1 species